rnacentral:rRNA from 1 species
CCCUUAGAUGUCCUGGGCCGCACGCGCGUUACACUGAUGCAUUCAACGAGCUUAUAACCUUGGCCGAGAGGCCUGGGCAAUCUUGUUAACGUGCAUCGUGAUAGGGAUAGAUUAUUGAAAUUAUUAAUCUUGAACGAGGAAUUCCUAGUAAACGCAGAUCAUCAAUCUGCAUUGAUUACGUCCCUGCCCUUUGUACACACCGCCCGUCGCACCUACCGAUUGGAUGGUCCGGUGAAGCCUCGGGAUUGUGGUUCUUGCCGCUUUAUUGUGGCGUGACCGCGAGAACUUGUCUAAACCUUUUCAUCUAGAGGAAGGUGAAGUCGUAACA